AUUGCCCGCUUUCUUUAGGCCUAACACAUGCAAGUCGAACGGCAGCACAGUAAGAGCUUGCUCUUACGGGUGGCGAGUGGCGGACGGGUGAGGAAUACAUCGGAAUCUACUUUUUCGUGGGGGAUAACGUAGGGAAACUUACGCUAAUACCGCAUACGACCUACGGGUGAAAGCAGGGGAUCUUCGGACCUUGCGCGAUUGAAUGAGCCGAUGUCGGAUUAGCUAGUUGGCGGGGUAAAGGCCCACCAAGGCGACGAUCCGUAGCUGGUCUGAGAGGAUGAUCAGCCACACUGGAACUGAGACACGGUCCAGACUCCUACGGGAGGCAGCAGUGGGGAAUAUUGGACAAUGGGCGCAAGCCUGAUCCAGCCAUACCGCGUGGGUGAAGAAGGCCUUCGGGUUGUAAAGCCCUUUUGUUGGGAAAGAAAAGCAGCAGGUUAAUACCCCGCUGUUCUGACGGUACCCAAAGAAUAAGCACCGGCUAACUUCGUG
rnacentral:rRNA from 1 species